CGAAAGUGAAACCUACUCUGUAUAUUGGGCUGGAGACUCGAAAACCACUGGAGAUUUUUACAAUGCCACGAUCCUGCACAUGACCGAGACAAAGGAAGAUAUGGACAAACACCUGGAAAAACGCCACAGCAACGGUGUGCAGCGGAAAAAGCCUUUAAAAAAGAUGAAGGAACGUGCCGAGACAGGUGUUCCUGAAAAGAAAAGACGAAGGCUGGUUUUGGACUCUCACGAGAACCGUCUGCUGCAGACCAUGAGUCGGUCAGAUGAUGACG